AUGACGUCAUCACAGCACGGAGGUGCCCAAGGAGACUAUAGAACAGGAGAGGGGGCCUCUAUGGGAGACCGUGGGCGGGUGUUGGUGUAUGUCGGUUGCAACAGAUGGCGCAGGAGCAGCUUUGUUUACAUCCAGGCGCCUCCCCCCCUCCAGACCCACCCCAAACCCCCAGAACCAAUCAGCAGUGUUGCUACAUGGGAUCAAGCAGCAAAUGUUGCUACUUUUUUUCUUCAGUCUGGUUAUUUCCCAUUUUAAAUAAAAAAAAUAAAGGUAGAUAAAUAUUAAAAUGAACAGUAGGAACUAUAUAUACUGUAUAUAUUUACUAGGUAGAUAUAGCCUGACUGCAUGUCAUGAGUAAUGCUAUUAUUGUUAUAUUAUUAAACCGCAAUUAUAUUACUUUCUCUGCAUGUGUGGUUAGAUGUGUUUUAUGUGUUUAACCUUUCUGUAUAUAUACUGGAAUGAACCAAGGAAUUGUAGCCCUACUGCCGUUCUUUAAAAACUAUGUGAUCAUGUUUUUCUUCCAAACCCAUUGUUUUAGCACGCACGCUGACUUCCAUCAGUAAUGAUGAUAUAUAUACAUUGAGUCAUUGGUUUGUAGGGGGAAAGAGUGGGUGAAUAUAAUUAUCUUGGUCUAACUUAUACUGUUUAUUAUACCGCUAUUCGCAGCAAUAUCUUUCUCUGCUCCGAUGGCAACGCUGCCUCGUUCAAAAAUCAUAACACCGCCGCGGCCGCCACGUUUACCAGCCGGAGCCUCAAAUCAUGUCCCUUUGUGCUGAUAAAGAGGACACAGCCUGGUGUGAAGCUACAUUUAUUACGGAAGGAUGCCACCCGGGUGUUUGAAAAUGUGGCAGCUGAAGUGGGAGAGGCCAAGAAAGAGGCCAAGGGUGAAGACAUUUAGCCACCCCCCCUGAAGUACAUGGCAUCAUUCAACCCUCUUGGUGAGCUGCAGGAAUGUGCUUCCCAUUGCAGUGCACCAGCUCCAUGUACUGAUUUUGGGUGUGAACUUGAUGGGGUUGGAGGAAACUCGACUCGGCCAUCAAGCUCAUCACAAUAUAACAUGAAAAGUGAAAAUUGCUGCACACAACAGCCUGCUGUCUGCACCGGGAGGCAAGGCAGCUCAAAGCCCAGGCUGUUACAACUCCUGGGCAGUUUUUGCCCAGAGCCAACAAUUUUUUAGGUCCAAUAGGGAUGGAUUUUUUCUGAGGUCAGGUUCAACAUGCUGCAAGAUCUAAGCCUAGUAGGAGAUAUGGGUUACAAGAGAGGAGGUUUGCUCUGGCCUUAUACUAUCAAAGUCCAAAUGCUAAUAGAUUUCUAAGCACAGUAUUUCACUUGCCUUCAGUUUCAACACUUCACUCAUGACUCAGGGGUAUUUCAGUACAUGUUAGCUGGAGCAAACAGACUCUGACAGCCCUGCAGCAAAGAGCACAGGCUUUGUCAAAAGAAGAGAAACUUCGUGGGAUUUGCCAUUAUUUAGUAUUACUCUUGUUACGCCAAAAGAAAAAAAUCCAUAUACUUUGCCAAAUAUUGCAAGUAAUGCACCAUUGUUAGUCUUGCCUGUUAUAAAUCAGAUCUUGUUCAAUUAACAAGCUUUGGGUGUCUGCCACUUUCCAGUUGUAAUGCAAGGAAUCAUUUAUCUUCCCUGCCAGAUAUCGCAUGUAAUGCACCAUUGUUGGUCUUGCCUGUUAUAAAUCAGAUCUUGUUCAGCUCACAAGCUUUGAAUAUCUGCCAUUGUUUAUUUCAGGUGUAAUGCUUGGAAGCAUUUGUUCUCUUCCCUACCCAACAGUGUGCAAUACUUUAUUGUGGAUUUUGCCUGUUAUGUUUAAUCUUGUUCAGGUAACAAGCUUUUGGUGUCUGCCUUACCUAAUAAUGUGCUGCAGUGACACUUGGCUUGGUUUCAUAAUGUGAAAUACAGCAUGUAAUUUCAUCACAUUAAGUGUCUAUCAUCACGUGUCUGGCAUCAUUAAUGUGGCUUCCAGGAGUAAUCUUGUUUGUAUUACAGCAUGCAAUUUUUUUCUGCUUUAUAUGAUAUACAUAAUCACAUAGGUAUGAUUUUUUUUUUGACAAAAUGUAAUGGCAGUUGAUAUUCUUGACUAAUGCAUCAUAAACCUUGUGAAAAAUAAUGCUUUUUUGAAGGGGGGGGAUGGACAGAGAGUGGUUUGUUUGGUUGGCUAGUUCAAGGAGUUUCAUAUCAAAUGAUUUUAUUACAUCCAACUUUAAUGUGUGCUAAAAACAUAUAUUUUAUUACAUCCAACUUUAAUGUGUGCAUAAAACAUAUAUUUUAUUACAUCCAACUUUAAUGUGUGCUUCCUGCAAUAAAUGCUACAUGUUUACUGAUGUAGCCUAUGAAAUACAUAUCACUCUCUGCCCUGUAAUUUGGUGUGUCAUACUGCAGCAUAACUUUCCUGCUAUUUUCUUACACUAUGAGUUGCCUUAUUUUGUCUCAUUUGCUUUUAUCAUAUGUGCCUCCGCUGCAUAGUUGUGCCUACUGAGCUUAAUAUCUUCUUGACCCAGACACCAAGGUCAGAGCCUGUGAGAUCAUACCGUGUCCUACAUUCCAUUUUCACCUCCAGGCUCGCCUGUCUCCCAGGACCACCAAGUUAUUGCAUUCCAUUUAAGACAACUCAUGUGUUACCUUCUUGAUGUCCUCCAUCAUGUAUUUCAGCAUGUUUUAUGAUGCUUUGCUCUUAUAUUGAUGUGCCUUGCAACAUUUUUAUACAGUUUUUAUUGUAUAUAACGCACCAUUGUUGGUUUUGCCUGUUAUAAAUCGGGUCAUUUUCAGUUAAGAAGCUUUAAGUGUCUCCCAUUGUUUAUUUCAGUUGUAAUGCUUAGAAGCUUUUGUUCUCUGCCCUGUCAAGCAGUAUGCAAUGCUUGCCAUUAUCUGGCACUUGUACAGUUAGUAUGAUAUUUUUACUCAGCUAAGAGCAUUUUGCAAACGGUAAAGGUACGGUUGGGGGCAUGCGCUGUAGCAGCACGUGGCCUCGGUGCUCAUCUCUGUAACAUUGGCCCUUGAGGGUGUGAUGUUAGGGAACCCAUUACCCUGGGACACAGGACCAGUGUGACAUCCGGGUUACCACAGUUGCAAAGGCAUUAUAGUAAUCUAGCAUGUAUAGAAUGUUGUAUGCUUUGCUUGUAUUUAAAGCACUGGAUAUGUUUGCUACACACACACACACA